rnacentral:rRNA from 1 species
AGUCUUUUGUUUUUUUAUUAAAGGUGUUUUCUGCUCAGUGUUUAUAAAUAGCCGCAGUAAUUUGACUGUGCAAAGGUAGCAUAAUCAUUUGUUUCAUAAUUGGGGACUUGUAUGAAUGGUAUUACGAAAAUUUAGCUGUCUUUUAUUUAUUCUUAUAAUUUGUAUUUGGUGUGAAGAUACAUUAAUUUUUUAAUGGGACAAGAAGACCCUUUUGAGCUUUAUUUAAUUAUUUAUUUUUUGUAUAUGUUUAAUUUGGUUGGGGCGACCUAGGAAGGGUUAGACUUAUAUCUUCCUUUUAGUUAUAUGGAACCAUUAUUUUUGGUAUAUAGAUUAAGUUACCAAAGGGAUAACAGCGUAAUUUUUUUUGAGAGUUGUUAUUAAAAAUGAAGAUUGCGACCUCGA